rnacentral:rRNA from 1 species
GGACCCGCACAAGUAGUGGAGCAUGUGGUUUAAUUCGAAGAUACGCGCAGAACCUUACCAGGGUUUGACAUCCUGCGAAUCUCUUGGAAACGAGAGAGUGCCUUCGGGAGCGCAGUGACAGGUGGUGCAUGGCUGUCGUCAGCUCGUGUCGUGAGAUGUUGGGUUAAGUCCCGCAACGAGCGCAACCCACGUCUUUAGUUGCCAGCAUUUAGUUGGGCACUCUAGCGAGACCGCCGGUGAUAAACCGGAGGAAGGUGUGGAUGACGUCAAGUCAUCAUGCCCCUUACAUCCUGGGCUACACACGUACUACAAUGCUACGGACAAAGGGCAGCAAACUCGCGAGAGCUAGCAAAUCCCAUAAACCGUGGCUCAGUUCAGAUCGUAGGCUGCAACUCGCCUACGUGAAGGAGGAAUCGCUAG